GCAUUCGUGGUGCAGUGGUUUAGCAUUCCGGCCUCCCAGCAUAGCCUAGAGAGCCGGAGACCUGGGUUCGAAUCCCGGUGGAUGCA
rnacentral:tRNA from 1 species